GUCUAUGGCCAUACCGCCCUGAAUGUACCCAAUCUCAUCUGAUCUCAGAAGCUAAGCAGGGUUGGGCCUGGUUAGUACUUGGAUGGGAGACAGAUCUUCAGCGGAGACUGCUCAGAGACA
ensembl:rRNA 5S_rRNA 5S ribosomal RNA